AGUCGAGCGGACCUUUUAAAGCUUGCUUUUGAAAGGUCAGCGGCGGACGGGUGAGUAACACGUGGGCAACCUGCCUGUAAGACUGGGAUAACUUCGGGAAACCGGAGCUAAUACCGGAUAAUAUAAGGAACCUCCUGGUUCUUUAUUGAAAGAUGGUUUCGGCUAUCACUUACAGAUGGGCCCGCGGCGCAUUAGCUAGUUGGUGAGGUAAUGGCUCACCAAGGCGACGAUGCGUAGCCGACCUGAGAGGGUGAUCGGCCACACUGGGACUGAGACACGGCCCAGACUCCUACGGGAGGCAGCAGUAGGGAAUCUUCCACAAUGGACGAAAGUCUGAUGGAGCAACGCCGCGUGAGCGAUGAAGGCCUUCGGGUCGUAAAGCUCUGUUGUUAGGGAAGAACAAGUGCGAGAGUAACUGCUCGCACCUUGACGGUACCUAACCAGAAAGCCACGGCUAACUACGUGCCAGCAGCCGCGGUAAUACGUAGGUGGCAAGCGUUGUCCGGAAUUAUUGGGCGUAAAGCGCGCGCAGGUGGUCCUUUAAGUCUGAUGUGAAAGCCCACGGCUCAACCGUGGAGGGUCAUUGGAAACUGGGGGACUUGAGUGCAGAAGAGGAAAGUGGAAUUCCAAGUGUAGCGGUGAAAUGCGUAGAGAUUUGGAGGAACACCAGUGGCGAAGGCGACUUUCUGGUCUGUAACUGACACUGAGGCGCGAAAGCGUGGGGA
rnacentral:rRNA from 1 species